rnacentral:rRNA from 1 species
CUUCUAAAGUUUGACCUCAAAUCAGGUAGGACUACCCGCUGAACUUAAGCAUAUCAAUAAGCGGAGGAAAAGAAACCAACAGGGAUUGCCUCAGUAACGGCGAGUGAAGCGGCAAAAGCUCAAAUUUGAAAUCUGGUACCUUUGGUGCCCGAGUUGUAAUUUGAAGAUAGUUUUCUGGUGCUGGCCCUUGUCUAUGUUCCUUGGAACAGGACGUCACAGAGGGUGAGAAUCCCGUCUGGCGGGGUGUCCAGUGCUUUGUAGAUUUCUAUCGACGAGUCGAGUUGUUUGGGAAUGCAGCUCUAAGUGGGUGGUAAAUUCCAUCUAAAGCUAAAUAUUGGCGAGAGACCGAUAGCGAACAAGUACAGUGAUGGAAAGAUGAAAAGAACUUUGAAAAGAGAGUGAAAAAGUACGUGAAAUUGUUGAAAGGGAAGGGUAUUAGAUCAGACUUGGUGUUUUGUGAUUAUCUUCCCUUCUUGGGUUGUGCACUCGCAUUUCACUGGGCCAGCAUCGGUUCGGGUGGUAAGAUAAUGACAUUGGAACGUGGCACUGCCUUCGGGUGGUGUGUUAUAGCCCUUGUUGAUGUUGCCUACCUGGACCGAGGACUGCGGCUUUGC